UUCUGGACAAUACUGACGCUGAGAUGCGAAGCGUGGGGAGCAAACAGGAUUAGAUACCUGGUAGUCCACGCUGUAAACGAUGUCGAUUUGGAGUUUGGGGGCAUGACCCUUGGGCUCCGGAGCUAACGCGUUAAAUCGACCGCUGGGGAGUACGGCCGCAAGGUUAAAACUCAAAUGAAUUGACGGGGGCCCGCACAAGCGGUGGAGCAUGUGGUUUAAUUCGAUGCAACGCGAAGAACCUUACCUGGUCUUGACAUCCAUAGAAUCUUUCAGAGAUGAGAGAGUGCCUUCGGGAGCUAUGAGACAGGUGCUGCAUGGCUGUCGUCAGCUCGUGUUGUGAAAUGUUGGGUUAAGUCCCGCAACGAGCGCAACCCCUAUCCUUUGUUGCCAGCACGUAAUGGUGGGAACUCAAAGGAGACUGCCGUUGAUAAAGCGGAGGAAGGUGGGGACGACGUCAAGUCAUCAUGGCCCUUACGACCAGGGCUACACACGUGCUACAAUGGCGUAUACAAAGGGAUGCGAAGGUGCGAACUGGAGCGGACCUCACAAAGUACGUCUAAGUCCGGAUUGGAGUCUGCAACUCGACUCCAUGAAGUCGGAAUCGCUAGUAAUCGUGAAUCAGAAUGUCACGGUGAAUACGUUCCCGGGCCUUGUACACACCGCCCGUCACACCAUGGGAGUGGGUUGCACCAGAAGUAGAUAGCUUAACCUUCGGGAGGGCGUUUACCACGGUGUGGUUCAUGACUGGGGUGAAGUCGUAACAAGGUAACCA
rnacentral:rRNA from 1 species